GGAAGUAAAAGCGUAACAAGGUCUCCGUAGGUGAACCUGCGGAGGGAUCAUUACAGAGUUCUCGCCCUCGCGGGUAGAUCUCCCACCCACUGUUAUCGUUACUGUGUUGCUUUGGCGGGCCGCCGGGCCCCGCUCGGCCGCCGGCUCCGGCUGGCGCGCGCCCGCCAGAGGCCCAGCAAACUCUGAAUGUUAGUGUCGUCUGAGUACUAUAUAAUAGUUAAAACUUUCAACAACGGAUCUCUUGGUUCUG
rnacentral:misc_RNA from 1 species